rnacentral:rRNA from 1 species
AACGAACGCUGGCGGCAGGCUUAACACACGCAAGUCGAACGCUCCGCAAGGAGAGUGGCAGACGGGUGAGUAACACGUGGGAACGUACCCUUUACUACGGAACAACUCCGGGAAACUGGAGCUAAUACCGUAUGUGCCCUUUGGGGGAAAGAUUUAUCGGUAAAGGAUCGGCCCGCGUUGGAUUAGCUAGUUGGUGGGGUAAAGGCCUACCAAGGCGACGAUCCAUAGCUGGUCUGAGAGGAUGAUCAGCCACAUUGGGACUGAGACACGGCCCAAACUCCUACGGGAGGCAGCAGUGGGGAAUAUUGGACAAUGGGCGCAAGCCUGAUCCAGCCAUGCCGCGUGUGUGAUGAAGGCCUUAGGGUUGUAAAGCACUUUCACCGGAGAAGAUAACGACGGUAUCCGGAGAAGAAGCCCCGGCUAACUUCGUGCCAGCCGCCGCGGUAA